rnacentral:rRNA from 1 species
GACGAACGCUGGCGGCGUGCUUAACACAUGCAAGUCGAACGGUAAGGCCCUUCGGGGUACACGAGUGGCGAACGGGUGAGUAACACGUGGGUGAUCUGCCCUGCACUUCGGGAUAAGCCUGGGAAACUGGGUCUAAUACCGGAUAGGACCACUGCCUGCAUGGGUGGUGGUGGAAAGCUUUUGCGGUGUGGGAUGGGCCCGCGGCCUAUCAGCUUGUUGGUGGGGUGAUGGCCUACCAAGGCGACGACGGGUAGCCGGCCUGGGAGGGUGACCGGCCGCACUGGGACUGAGAUACGGCCCAGACUCCUACGGGAGGCAGCAGUGGGGAAUAGUGCACAAUGGGCGCAAGCCUGGUGCAGCGACGCCGCGUGAGGGAUGACGGCCUUCGGGUUGUAAACCUCUUUCAGCACCGACGAAGCGCAAGUGACGGUAGGUGCAGAAGAAGGACCGGCCAACUACGUGCCAGCCGCCGCCGUAACAC